AUUGAACGCUGGCGGCAUGCCUUACACAUGCAAGUCGAACGGUAACAGGUCUUCGGAUGCUGACGAGUGGCGAACGGGUGAGUAAUACAUCGGAACGUGCCCGAUCGUGGGGGAUAACGGAGCGAAAGCUUUGCUAAUACCGCAUACGAUCUACGGAUGAAAGCAGGGGACCGCAAGGCCUUGCGCGGACGGAGCGGCCGAUGGCAGAUUAGGUAGUUGGUGGGAUAAAAGCUUACCAAGCCGACGAUCUGUAGCUGGUCUGAGAGGACGACCAGCCACACUGGGACUGAGACACGGCCCAGACUCCUACGGGAGGCAGCAGUGGGGAAUUUUGGACAAUGGGCGAAAGCCUGAUCCAGCCAUGCCGCGUGCAGGAUGAAGGCCUUCGGGUUGUAAACUGCUUUUGUACGGAACGAAAAGCCUCUUUCUAAUAAAGAGAGGUCAUGACGGUACCGUAAGAAUAAGCACCGGCUAACUACGUGCCAGCCGCCGCGGUAACAC
rnacentral:rRNA from 1 species